CCCCUGCAGGGACUGGCAAAUAGAAAGCCAACAACAUUGUAUCUAAAACUAAACAGUUUUGCUGAGAAUAAUGGGGCUCUGGACUGCGGCUUCUGUGAAGCUUAAUGACAGAAUUGGCAGCACAGGAGGUUUUCUUCUUGUGGCGGCCCAUGCUCCUCGGGCCUUGGGCACACUGCCUGGCUCCCUGUUCGAUCUUGUGAAACUCGGAUGAUGGGUUACUUCCCCUCUUCUUAAUAAGAUUAACGAGAAGUAUGCAGUGCCUUUCGAAUGACAUUUAUCCAAGGUUAUGAUAACAAACAACUGUCCCUCCAGUGAUGCAUUUGUUCCGCACCUCCCAGCCCAAGGCCCUGCUCUUGCUUUUCUUUCAAAUCUCAUUUAGUCUCAGUCAUCUCGGCCAGAAAGUUCCUGCUUCAGAGCAGAAGUAUCUUCUCCUAUAUGAAAAGGAGUACCAAGUACUCAAGUGAAGACGGACUGACCUGUUUCCAGGAGAAGCCUUUCUCAACUCACCAGACCACCUUUUGAUUUGCACCAAAUGGAAACCUGGGGAUCUGAAAUUACA